CCUACGGGAGGCUGCAGUGGGGGAUAUUGCACAAUGGGGGGAACCCUGAUGCAGCGACGCCGCGUGGGUGAAGAAGCGCCUCGGCGCGUAAAGCCCUGUCAGCAGGGAAGAAAAUGACGGUACCUGAAGAAGAAGCCCCGGCUAACUACGUGCCAGCAGCCGCGGGAAUACGUAGGGGGCAAGCGUUCUCCGGAUUUACUGGGUGUAAAGGGGGCGCAGACGGCGAUGCAAGCCAGGAGUGAAAGCCCGGGGCCCAACCCCGGGACUGCUCUUGAAACUGCGUGGCUGGAGUGCAGGAGGGGCAGGCGGAAUUCCUGGUGUAGCGGUGAAAUGCGUAGAUAUCAGGAGGAACACCGGUGGCGAAGGCGGCCUGCUGGACUGCAACUGACGUUGAGGCCCGAAAGCGUGGGGAGCAAACAGGAUUAGAUACCCGGGUAGUC
rnacentral:rRNA from 1 species